GAGGCCACUGCUAUGGGGGUCCGACUAAGCCAUGCGAGUCAUGGGGCGCGCUCUGCGACCGGCGGACGGCUCAGUAACACGUCGGUAACCUACCCUCGGGAGGGGGAUAACCCCGGGAAACUGGGGCUAAUCCCCCAUAGGCCUGGGGUACUGGAAGGUCCCCAGGCCGAAAGGGUCUUUGACCGCCCGAGGAUGGGCCGGCGGCCGAUUAGGUAGUUGGUGGGGUAACGGCCCACCAAGCCGAAGAUCGGUACGGGCCAUGAGAGUGGGAAGCCCGGAGAUGGACACUGAGACACGGGUCCAGGCCCUACGGGGCGCAUGUCAGGCGCGAAACCUCCGCAAUGCGGGCAACCGCGACGGGGGGACCCCCAGUGCCGUGGCAUCGCCACGGCUUUUCCGGAGUGUAAAAAGCUCCGGGAAUAAGGGCUGGGCAAGGCCGGUGGCNGCCGCCGCGGUAAUACCGGCGGCCCGAGUGGUGGCCGCUAUUAUUGGGCCUAAAGCGUCCGUAGCCGGGCCCGUAAGUCCCUGGCGAAUCCCACGGCUCAACCGUGGGGCUUGCUGGGGAUACUGCGGGCCUUGGGACCGGGAGAGGCCGGGGGUACCCCUGGGGUAGGGGUGAAAUCCUAUAAUCCCAGGGGGACCGCCAGUGCGAAGGCGCCCGGCUGGAACGGGUCCACGGUGAGGGACGAAGGCCAGGGGAGCGAACCGGAUUAGAUACCCGGGUAGUCCUGGCUGUAAAGGAUGCGGGCUAGGUGUCGGGCGAGCUUCGAAGCUCGCCCGGUGCCGGAGGGAAGCCGUUAAGCCCGCCGCCUGGGGAGUACGGCCGCAAGGCUGAAACUUAAAGGAAUUGGCGGGGGAGCACUACAAGGGGUGGAGCGUGCGGUUUAAUUGGAUUCAACGCCGGGAACCUCACCGGGGGCGACNGCNGGAUGAANGCCAGGCUGAANGUCUUNCCGGACNCGCCGAGAGGAGGUGCAUGGCCGCCGUCAGCUCGUACCGUGAGGCGUCUUAAGUGUGGUAACGAGCGAGACCCGCGCCCCCAGUUGCCAGUCCUCCCCGCUGGGGAGGAGGCACUCUGGGGGGACNNCCGGCGAUAGCCGGAGGAAGGAGCGGGCGACGGUAGGUCAGUAUGCCCCGAAACCCCCGGGCUACACGCGCGCUACAAUGGGCGGGACAAUGGGAUCCGACCCCGAAAGGGGAAGGGAAUCCCCUAAACCCGCCCUCAGUUCGGAUCGCGGGCUGCAACUCGCCCGCGUGAAGCUGGAAUCCCUAGUACCCGCGUGUCAUCAUCGCGCGG
rnacentral:rRNA from 1 species